GUGGGGAAUAUUGGACAAUGGGGGGAACCCUGAUCCAACCAUGCCGCGUGUGUGAAGAAGGCCUUUUGGUUGUAAAGCACUUUAAGCGAGGAGGAGGCUACCGAGAUUAAUACUCUUGGAUAGUGGACGUUACUCGCAGAAUAAGCACCGGCUAACUCUGUGCCAGCAGCCGCGGUAAUACAGAGGGUGCAAGCGUUAAUCGGAUUUACUGGGCGUAAAGCGCGCGUAGGUGGCCAAGUAAGUCAAAUGUGAAAUCCCCGAGCUUAACUUGGGAAUUGCAUUCGAUACUGGUUGGCUAGAGUAUGGGAGAGGAUGGUAGAAUUCCAGGUGUAGCGGUGAAAUGCGUAGAGAUCUGGAGGAAUACCGAUGGCGAAGGCAGCCAUCUGGCCUAAUACUGACACUUAGGUGCGAAAGCAUGGGGAGCAAACAGGAUUAGAAACCCGUGUAGUCC
rnacentral:rRNA from 1 species